rnacentral:rRNA from 1 species
AGUGAACGCUGGCGGUAGGCCUAACACAUGCAAGUCGAACGGCAGCACAGUAAGAGCUUGCUCUUACGGGUGGCGAGUGGCGGACGGGUGAGGAAUACAUCGGAAUCUACUUUUUCGUGGGGGAUAACGUAGGGAAACUUCCGCUAAUACCGCAUACGACCUACGGGUGAAAGCAGGGGAUCUUCGGACCUUGCGCGAUUGAAUGAGCCGAUGUCGGCUUAGCUAGUUGGCGGGGUAAAGGCCUACCAAGGCGACGAUCCGUAGCUGGUCUGAGAGGAUGAUCAGACACAUUGGAACUGAGACACGGUCCAGACUCCUACGGGAGGCCGCAGUGGGGAAUAUUGGACAAUGGGCGCAAGCCUGAUCCAGCCAUACCGCGUAGGUGAAGAAGGCCUUCGGGUUGUAAAGCCAUUUUGUUGGGAAAGAAAAGCAGCAGGUUAAUACCCCGCUGUUCUGACGGUACCCAAAGAAUAAGCACCGGCUAACUUCGUG